CCUAGCCAGCGCGCUAUUUAUGAUAAACAUGUAGCACGUGGCAUCAUCAGAUUCAAGCGAGAUUUUCAUUAUAAAGUUGAAUAAUUCGGGCAAAGAGAUUCGGUUGUGUUAAACAUGGACAGCGUUGCUGCUACUACGGUGUGGAGAUGUGUUAGAUAGUCUUGAAGAUUAGGGUAUGAUGGACCCCUUAUUGAAGAUGAAGCAGCAUUUCAGCAAGCCGUCGAUGGAGGCACCAGCUCAACCGAGUUAACCGCCCUCAUCAGUUGGCUAGUAGAAAAACUCAACAGACUGAGCAGCAUAGAGGCCACCGUCUCGGCCACAUCCCGUCUCAAUUCAUAUCCGGAACAAGUUGCGGACAAUGUAUCGGGUAUAAUUAAGGCUGGAUUCUGAACGACUUCCCUGCAAUCUUCCCGCAAGGAAGUUUUCAGUAUUGCUGUCGAGGAAGCCGAGUCCUUUGAGCUGGAGCUGAGCGGUCUACUGAGCGAGCUGAACUGGCCGUAUAGCGCCCUCACAGAUCAACUGCUUUGGCAACAAGCAGAACCGACUACGCUU